UACGAAGGGUGCAAGCGUUAGUCGGAAUUACUGGGCGUAAAGCGUGCGUAGGCGGUUUCUUAAGUCCGUUGUGAAAGCCCUGGGCUCAACCUGGGAACUGCAGUGGAUACUGAGAGGCUAGAGUGUGUCAGAGGAUGGUGGAAUUCCCGGUGUAGCGGUGAAAUGCGUAGAGAUCGGGAGGAACAUCAGUGGCGAAGGCGGCCAUCUGGGACAACACUGACGCUGAGGCACGAAAGCGUGGGGAGCAAAUAGG
rnacentral:rRNA from 1 species